rnacentral:rRNA from 1 species
AUUGAACGCUGGCGGCAUGCUUUACACAUGCAAGUCGAGCGGCAGCGCGGGGGGCAACCCUGGCGGCGAGCGGCGAACGGGUGAGUAAUGCAUCGGAACGUACCCUGGAGUGGGGGAUAACGCCGCGAAAGCGGCGCUAAUACCGCAUAUGCUCUGAGGAGGAAAGUGGGGGACCCGCAAGGGCCUCAUGCUCUGGGAGCGGCCGAUGUCCGAUUAGCUAGUUGGUGAGGUAAAGGCUUACCAAGGCGACGAUCGGUAGCUGGUCUGAGAGGAUGAUCAGCCACACUGGGACUGAGACACGGCCCAGACUCCUACGGGAGGCAGCAGUGGGGAAUUUUGGGACAAUGGGGGCAACCCUGAUCCAGCCAUGCCGCGUGAGUGAAGAAGGCCUCGGUUGUAAG